CGCGCUGCCCACUGCCCACACCAGCAAUGAGGCAGCCCGCAUUUCCCCAUCUCUUCCUCGGCUGGUGCCAACCACCCUGGAACGUCCUGGAACUUGUUGUCUCUCUAUUUUCAGGAAGGCAAGACCCUUCCCCAUGCACACGAAUGCGGGACUGGGGAUGACCGGCCAGGGAUUUGGUAGGGACACAGGACCAGGGCACCCUAAAGGGCUCUGGCCUGGCAGACAGGUGAGUCUGAGAAGGGGCCCUUACUGAACCCUUCCUGCUAAGUUUAGGAGCACACACGUUUCUGUGCCCUCGGUUCAAGUCUCUAGAUUCCUCUGGGCCAUGAAUCCAUUGUCCAUAUUUACCUGAAAUAAGACUUUUUCUACUAGGAAAUCAUAACUACCUACCUACGCACUAAAGCAAAUUCCACUGAAGUAAAUACACUUGUCCUCAUUACUGAGAUUCAUUCUAACGUUUCCCGAGGUUAAGAAUCCCAAGCUCCAGAGCUAGGGCUGGACGUGAGAGUUGAAAAGCAACACAGGUUCCAGGGUUAAGCCGGGCAGCCCGACAGGGAGAAGGUGACAACCGUCCUCUCUGUCACUCUUGCAACAGUUAGGGGCACCUGGCCUUGGAUCUCAGCUCAGCCACCCACUUACCCCUCGUGACUUCUCACAGAGCCUUAAUGUCCCCACAGACAGGCCAGGAAGACGACUAGCUGUGCCGGCCGCUUAGCGGGUAAGGAAUAAGCUACGUUACUGUUGCUGAUAAAGCAUCUCUGGGUCCUGACCUCCUUUCCCUUCCUCCGAUCGCGAUCGCGGAAAGGAGAAGCGGGCUCCUCCGGGCCGCGCUGCCUGGAAACUGCCACAAACAGCUCAGGCAAGACGGGAGAACCGGAAGAAAAACACUCAGAUCCCGGCGCAUACUGAUUCCAGCGGCCACACCCGGACCUCGCCGGCCAGGCCCAGCGCCCGGGACGCGGAGCGGGGCGGGGGGGGGGGGGGAGCCCGGGGCUGCCGGGGGCGGGGCGCACGGCGGCGGCGGAGGCGUCCGGGGCGCAGGGCAGGGGCGCGGCGCAGGGAGCAGUCCGCACACACGGGCGGGGGCUGCGGUGAUCACUCGCCACCGGGCGCUCGGGGCCGAUGGAGCCCCGGCUGGCCUGUUCCGCGCGGCCCCGUCUUACCGGCUCAGCGCUGGUUCGGGCUCCGGGCGGCGCGAGGUGUGGGAAGAAGCGCUAGGGCCCGAGGCCCUUAUAGCUGUGGAAGGGGAGUGUCGCCCAGGCAGGAGGCGGGCGGGCGGGCAGGGCCUUGGCCCUUCCCCCAGAGGACUUCCUGGGAGUCCGGGCUUGGAGGCUUGGCGUUGUAGAAGCCGAGGUGAAGGUGGGCUCCGCGCGGCGUCCUCCUCUCCGCCCCUUCGUACCAAAGUGGACUGCGUUCCGAUCACCUCGCAGGUGAUGACCACAGCAGCUGAACCAACUUCCGCACCACACACGGUGAUAACUCGCAUCUGUGCGAAUGAAGGAUUGCUUACACACCAGACCAAAACGCUCAAUCCGCGUGAAGCUGAUUGGCAUGUCAUCCAGCAUGUGCACUCCCCUGUGUCAGCAGCCUGUGCCCAAGGGACCCGGAUGAACUGGUGAGCGCCCUGCCCUUCCAGCUCUCCCACGUCCGGCAACACACAACUCCGAAGCCAGGCCGGUGACCAUCCUUCGUAAUGAAGCUGGUAUGUUUAAUCCCCAAGCAAAACCUCCUUGACAGCGCUCUUCCCACGAACCUGCCUUAGCCGCAGUACUCUGCGUCAUCGACAGCAUCAAGUCCUCUUUCAAAUAACCUGAGAG
ensembl:lncRNA